GGAGGACCGGUCUGUGGAGGCUCACAAGACCUUUUUGCCUGACCUACCUUCUAAUAGAUGGUGAAUACGUCUCCCAAGGAAACCUUGAUGCCAUUUGACAGCUGGGCUGAGUGACCCGUCCAGCGCCGCUCUAGCCUUCGUCCUGCUGCCUUCUGGAAGGGGAAAUAGCUGCCGCUGUCAGUCACAGGAAUCACCUGAUCUCAGGUGACACUCAGGUGACACUCAGGUGACACUCAGGCUGGCAUCUCAGCUGCCUCACAGCAUCUCCAUGGGUCCAUGCAUCUUUACCUCUGUAGCACCAAAUGUUCAGAUGGCUAGCAGGCCCUCAUCAUGGUGUCUCUGACCUGGGCAUCUCUGCACCCAAAGAGCUCACAGUUCACAGGAUCCUGAGUCCUGGCUGACACUGCAGGACUGCUGCCUUGCUAUCCCAGCCUCACACACUGAGCACACUGGCUGAGUCACAUACCAGCAGCUUGCACUCAGAAAUGAGAGGCACCAGGCCCCACGUGUCUACCCCUAGACAUAAGGAUUUAUUGGCCCAUAAAACUAAAAGAUCCAACAUAGACUCCUGGC